rnacentral:rRNA from 1 species
AUUGAACGCUGGCGGCAGGCCUAACACAUGCAAGUCGAACGGUAGCACAGAGAGCUUGCUCUCGGGUGACGAGUGGCGGACGGGUGAGUAAUGUCUGGGAAACUGCCCGAUGGAGGGGGAUAACUACUGGAAACGGUAGCUAAUACCGCAUAACGUCGCAAGACCAAAGUGGGGGACCUUCGGGCCUCACACCAUCGGAUGUGCCCAGAUGGGAUUAGCUAGUAGGUGGGGUAAUGGCUCACCUAGGCGACGAUCCCUAGCUGGUCUGAGAGGAUUACAAGCCACACUGGAACUGAGACACGGUCCAGUCGCCUACGGGAGGCAGCAGUGGUGAAUAUUGCACAAUGGGCGCAAGCCUGAUGCAGCCAUGCCGCGUGUAUGAAGAAGGCCUUCGGGUUGUAAAGUACUUUCAGCGGGGAGGAAGGCGGUGAAGUUAAUAACUUCACCGAUUGACGUUACCCGCAGAAGAAGCACCGGCUAACUCCGUGCCAGCCGCCGCGGUAA